UGAGGAAUAUUGGACAAUGGGUGCAAGCCUGAUCCAGCCAUCCCGCGUGAAGGAAGAAGGUCCUAUGGAUUGUAAACUUCUUUUAUCAGGAAAGAAACCCCUCCUUGCGAGGAGGGCUGACGGUACCUGAUGAAUAAGCACCGGCUAACUCCGUGCCAGCAGCCGCGGUAAUACGGAGGGUGCAAGCGUUAUCCGGAUUUAUUGGGUUUAAAGGGUCCGUAGGCGGGUUCAUAAGUCAGUGGUGAAAGCCGACAGCUUAACUGUCGAAUUGCCAUUGAUACUGUGAGUCUUGAGUGAGAUUGAAGUAGCUGGAAUGUGUAGUGUAGCGGUGAAAUGCAUAGAUAUUACACAGAACACCAAUUGCGAAGGCAGGUUACUAAAUCUCAACUGACGCUGAGGG
rnacentral:rRNA from 1 species